AACUGGGAUGCCCUAGUAACGGCGAGUGAAGCGGCAACAGCUCAAAUUUGAAAUCUGGCUCCUUGUAGGGGUCCGAGUUGUAAUUUGCAGAGGGUGCUUUGGUGUUAUGGUGGCGUUCUAAGUUCCUUGGAACAGGACAUCGCAGAGGGUGAGAAUCCCGUUUGUGGCCGUCGCCUUUCGCCGUGUAAAGCCCCUUCGACGAGUCGAGUUGUUUGGGAAUGCAGCUCUAAAUGGGAGGUAAAUUUCUUCUAAAGCUAAAUACCGGCCAGAGACCGAUAGCGCACAAGUAGAGUGAUCGAAAGAUGAAAAGCACUUUGGAAAGAGAGUCAAACAGCACGUGAAAUUGUUGAAAGGGAAGCGCUUGCAGCCAGACUUGCCCGCAGUUGCUCACCUAGGCUUUUGCCUGGGGCAUUCUUCUGCGGGCAGGCCAGCAUCAGUUUGGGCGGUCGGAUAAAGGCCUCUGUCACGUAUCUUCCUCCGGGAAGACCUUAUAGGGGAGGUGUCAUGCGACCAGCCUGGACUGAGGUCCGCGCAUCUGCCAGGAUGCUGGCGUAAUGGCUGUAAGCGGCCCGUCUUGAAACACGGACCAAGGAGUCUAACAUCUAUGCGAGUGUUUGGGUGUCAAGCCCGAGCGCGUAAUGAAAGUGAACGGAGGUGGGAACCCUCGGGUGCACCAUCGACCGAUCCUGAUGUCUUCGGAUGGAUUUGAGUAAGAGCAUAGCUGUUGGGACCCGAAAGAUGGUGAACUAUGCUUGAAUAGGGUGAAGCCAGAGGAAACUCUGGUGGAGGCUCGCAGCGGUUCUGACGUGCAAAUCGAUCGUCAAAUUUGGGCAUAGGGGCGAAAGACUAAUCG
rnacentral:rRNA from 1 species